rnacentral:rRNA from 1 species
GACAGAGGGUGCAAGCGUUGUUCGGAAUCACUGGGCGUAAAGCGCGCGCAGGCGGCCUGAUAAGUCGGGAGUGAAAUUCCGGGGCUCAACCCCGGAGCUGCUUCCGAAACUGCCAGGCUAGGGACCGGUAGAGGUCGGUGGAAUUCCCGGUGUAGCGGUGGAAUGCGUAGAGAUCGGGAAGAACACCCGUGGCGAAGGCGGCCGACUGGGCCGGAUCCGACGCUGAGGCGCGAAAGCGUGGGGAGCAAACAGG